AAACAUGGCUCUUUGAAUUAAUUUUAUAAAGAGUCAAGCCUGCCCAGUGAAAUUUAUUUUAACGGCCGCGGUACUCUGACCGUGCAAAGGUAGCAUAAUCAUUUGCCUUAUAAUUGAAGGCUAGUAUGAAUGGUUUAACGAGAGCAACACUGUCUCUUUUUUAUUUUCAAGAAUUUAACCUUUAGGUGAAGAGGCCUAAAUUUUAUUGAAGGACAAGAAGACCCUGUCGAGCUUAAAAGACAUUAUAGAAGUUUAUAUAAAUUUAAUUAAAUUUUCUAUUAAGCUUUUUAGUUGGGGCGACUAAGGAACAAAAAAAGCUUCUUAAGCUUAGCAAACAUACAGGUUUUGAUCCGGUAGCAGCCGACUUAAGAAAUUAGUUACCGCAGGGAUAACAGCAUAAUCUCUCUUGAGAGAUCUAAUCGAAAGAGGGGGUUGUGACCUCGAUGUUGGACUAGAAUAUCCUAAAGAUGCAGAAGUCUUUAAGGGUUGGUCUGUUCGACCAUUAAAAUUCUACGUGAUC
rnacentral:rRNA from 1 species